GAUGAACGCUGGCGGCGUGCCUAAUACAUGCAAGUCGAGCGAACGGACGAGAAGCUUGCUUCUCUGAUGUUAGCGGCGGACGGGUGAGUAACACGUGGAUAACCUACCUAUAAGACUGGGAUAACUUCGGGAAACCGGAGCUAAUACCGGAUAAUAUUUUGAACCGCAUGGUUCAAAAGUGAAAGACGGUCUUGCUGUCACUUAUAGAUGGAUCCGCGCUGCAUUAGCUAGUUGGUAAGGUAACGGCUUACCAAGGCAACGAUGCAUAGCCGACCUGAGAGGGUGAUCGGCCACACUGGAACUGGGCCACGGUCCAGACUCCUACGGGAGGCAGCAGUAGGGAAUCUUCCGCAACGGGCGAAAGCCUGACGGAGCAACGCCGCGUGAGUGAUGAAGGUCUUCGGAUCGUAAAACUCUGUUAUUAGGGGAGAACAUAUGUGUAAGUAACUGUGCACAUCUUGACGGUACCUAAUCAGAAAGCCACGGCUAACUACGUG
rnacentral:rRNA from 1 species